UACGUAGGGACCGAGCGUUGUCCGGAUUCAUUGGGCGUAAAGAGCUCGUAGGCGGCCACUCAAGUCGAAUGUGAAACCUCGAGGCUUAACCUCGAGCCUGCAUUCGAUACUGGGCGGCUAGAGUCUGGUAGGGGGAUCUGGAAUUCCUGGUGUAGCGGUGAAAUGCGCAGAUAUCAGGAGGAACACCGGUGGCGAAGGCGGUUCUCUGGGAAUGUCCUGACGCUGAGGAGCGAAAGUGUGGGGAGCGAACAGG
rnacentral:rRNA from 1 species